AUGUACCCACGUACAUUCCGGUUCCUCCGCGCCGUCCGCACCCACCUGACGACUGCUCGCUACGUUUUGGUAGCC
rnacentral:sRNA from 1 species